UACGAAGGGUGCAAGCGUUACUCGGAAUUACUGGGCGUAAAGCGUGCGUAGGUGGUGAGUUAAGUCUGUCGUGAAAGCCCCGGGCUCAACCUGGGAAUGGCGAUGGAUACUGGCAGGCUAGAGUGCGGUAGAGGAUGGCGGAAUUCCCGGUGUAGCAGUGAAAUGCGUAGAGAUCGGGAGGAACAUCUGUGGCGAAGGCGGCCAUCUGGACCAGCACUGACACUGAGGCACGAAAGCGUGGGGAGCAAACAGG
rnacentral:rRNA from 1 species